GAACGCUCUCUGGCUUCGGUCAGAGGGAGUGGCGGACGGGUGAGUAACACAUGGGUGACCUGCCUUCAGGUGAGGAAUACCACCGGGAAACCGGUGACAAUACCGCAUACGUUCGCACGUGCAGACGUGCGAGCAAAGCUCUUUGGGGCGCCUGAGGAUGGGCCCGUGGCCGAUUAGCCGGUUGGUGGGGUAAGAGCCUACCAAGGCGACGAUCGGUAGCUGGUCUGAGAGGACGAGCAGCCACACUGGGAUUGAGAACGGCCCAUACUCCUACGGGGGGCAGCAGUGAGGAAUUUUCCGCAAUGGGCGCAAGCCUGACGGAGCAACGCCGCGUGCAGGACGACGGUCUUCGGAUCGUAAACUGCUUUUCCCAGGGACGAAACCGACGGUACCUGGGGAAUAAGCCCCGGCUAACUACGUGCCAGCAGCCGCGGUAAU
rnacentral:rRNA from 1 species